GCAAGUCGAGCGAGACCUUCGGGUCUAGCGGCGGACGGGUUAGUAACGCGUGGGAAUAUACCCUUCACUACGGAAUAGCCUCGGGAAACUGGGAGUAAUACCGUAUACGCCCUUCGGGGGAAAGAUUUAUCGGAGAAGGAUUAGCCCGCGUUAGAUUAGGUAGUUGGUGGGGUAAUGGCCUACCAAGCCUACGAUCUAUAGCUGGUUUGAGAGGAUGAUC
rnacentral:rRNA from 1 species